rnacentral:lncRNA from 1 species
CAGGUAGACUUCAUUCAGACUCCUAUGGGAGCCAGACUUCGUCCCCGACUCCGACUGCGGGUAGACUUCAUUCGGACUCCUACGGAAGCCGGACUUCAUCCCCGACUCCGACUGCAGGUAGACUUCAUCCGGACUCCUACGGGAGCCGAACUUCAGCAGCCAGACCCCUCCAGCGGAUGAACCUCUUUAGUGCCAUCCGACACCCACUGAC